rnacentral:rRNA from 1 species
AUGUCGACCUCCUCUGCUUCCUCUUCCUCCAGGGCUCGUAGAUGUUUUUCUGGACCAAUGAGGUCUCCCAUUAGAUACAGAGAGGGGCCGCUGGACUACGAGCCAUUCACACCAUGUGAUUGCCGUGAGAAGCCAAAAGCAGCCAUGUGGAUCUCAUGGAGCGACGAGAAUCCAGGUAGAAGAUACAAGACAUGUUACCGCUCGAGGAGGGGAGGUUGUGAGUUCUACGAGUGGCACGACAAUCCGAUCGCAGAUCCUUUCCUCAAACAGCUGGUUAUCGAUCUUAGGGACCAAGUGUGGUUAUUUGAGAGGAGGAACGCUGCUCUGCAAGAUGCUACGAGGACAGCAGAAACUGAAGCGGCAAAUCUAUCUCGACAACUUUCAGAAGCUAUGGAGUCGGCCAUGGACAGCCGUGCCAAAAUGAUGGUGGCUCGUGUGGCUUGUGGUGAUGUUGCUAGACAGUCUGGUGACAAUGCUCGCGUUUUGGGCAAGAACUACCUUAAGAAUUCUAUGUGGGUGUUUGCUAUAGCUCUUGCAAUCUACAUGCUGAUAAUUGUUUGGUAA